CCCACAAAUCCCCCCUGACCCCUCCCCUUUUUUCCUCCCCCCCAGGUCUCCCCCCGGGCAGCCCCUCCCCCUGCGACCCCCCCCCUGCAGGUGGGACCCCCCCCAGGGCCGGGGGAGCCCCCCCAGAUGAGGAGGAGCAGGGGGGGGCUCCGGAUGGGGAGGGGGCUCAAGGGACCCCCCCCAAGGGGCUGCCAGGCCACGCCACCAAAUCCCUGCCGGGCUCCCCGGGCCGAGCCGCCAUUCUGGGGGGGGGUCUCCCCCUCCCCUCCCCCUCCCCAAAUCCCCCCCCCAGCCGGGCCAAAAUGUCCCUGACCGGGGCUGGGGGGGGCAAAACCCCCCCUGGGCAGAGCCUGGCCCUGCGCCUGCUCAGCCUGCCGGGGGGGGGAGGGGCUGCAGGGGGGCGACCCCCGCCCCAGGACCCCCCCCAGACCCCCCCGGAGCCCCCCAAAGACCCCCCGGACCCCCCCAAAAUUCACCGAGCCCGCAAGACCAUGGCCAAGCCCAGCAACGGACAGGUGAGCUUGGGAAGGGUUAGGUUCAUUUUUGGGGUUGUUUUUGGGGGGCUCAAAGGGGUCAGGACCCCUCCCCAGGAAUUUUGGGGACUCUCAGGGGGGUCUCUGAGCCCCCCCAAACCCCCCCAAAAUUCACCGAGCCCGCAAGACCAUGGCCAAGCCCAGCAACGGACAGGUGCCCGAGAAGCCGCGGAUGUCGGAGAUGCUGCACUUCAGGGUGUCCGAGGAGCUCUGCGGGAUGGGGCAGCACGACCCCCCCAAACGCCCCAAGUUGGAUUUUGGCUCCGAGGGGCUCCACAAGCGGCUGCAGCGACCGAGCCCCCGCGCCAGCACCGAGGUACCAACAGCACCCAAAAACUGCCAAAAACACCCAAAAACAUCCUGAAAUACCCCAAUAAACCCCAAACCAUCCAAAAAUAUCCCAAAAACUGCCCAAAAACAUCCAAAAACACCUGAAAAACACCCAAAAUCUGCCCCAAAAUGUCCUAAAACACCCCAAAAACACCCCAAAAACAUCCAAAAAUGUCCAAAAGUAGCCCAAAGACAUCCUAAAACAUCCUAAAAUAGCCCAAAAACUGCCCCAAAAACAUCCAAAAUCUACCCCAAAACAUCCUGAAAUACCCAAAAAAACCCCAAACCAUCCAAAAAUAUCCCCAAACCACACAAAAAUAUCCCAAAAACGCCCCAAAAACAACCCAUAAACACCCAAAAUCUGCCCCAAAAUGUCCUAAAACACCCCAAAAACACCCCCAAAACACCCAAAAACGUCCAAAAGUAGCCCAAAGACAUCCUAAAACAUCCUAAAAUAGCCCAAAAACUGCCCCCAAAACACCCCAAAAACAUCCUGAAAUACCCAAAAAAACCCCAAACCAUCCAAAAAUAUCCCAAAAACCACCCAAAAAACAGCCCAAAAACAUCCUGAAAUACCCAAAAAACCCCAAAAACAGCCCCAAAACAUCCACAACACCCCAAAAUCUGCCCCAAAAUCUGCCCCAAAAUGUCCUAAAACACCCCAAAAACAUCCAAAAACGUCCAAAAGUAGCCCAAAGACAUCCUAAAACAUCCUAAAAUAGCCCAAAAACACCCCAAAAACACCCCAAAACCAUCCUGAAAUACCCAAAAAAACCCCAAACCAUCCAAAAAUAUCCCAAAACCACACAAAAAUAUCCCAAAAACAGCCCAAAAACAACCUUAAGUACCCCAAAACCACCCAGAACACACCAAAAACAUCCUGAAACACCCAAAAUCUGCCCAAAAACACCCCCAAAACACCCAAAAAUAUCCUAAAAUACCCCAAAAACAUCCAAAAAUACCCCAAAAACAACCUAAAAACACCCCAAAACCAUCCAAAAAUAGCCCAAAACCACCCAAAAUACCUCAAAAAAUGCCCCAAAAACAUCCAAAAAUAGCCCAAAACUAUCCUAAAAUACCCAAAACCACCCCAAAAUAUCCAAAAAUAGCCUAAAAUACCCCAAAAACAUCCUAAAACAUCCUAAGACAUCAAAAAACAUCCUAGAAUACCCCAAAAACACCCAAAAUACUCCAGAAACUGCCCCAAAACUAUCCUAGAAUACCCAAAAACACCCCAAAACACCCUAAAACAUCCAAAAUACCCCAAAAACAUCCUAAAAUACCCCAAAUACAACCCAAAAACAUCCUAAAAUACCCCAAAAACACCCCAAACCAUCCAAAAAUAUCCCAAAACCACACAAAAAUAUCCCGAAAACUGCCCCAAAAACAUCCUAAAAUACCCCAAAAACACCCGAAAUACCCCCAAAACACCCCAAAAACACCCCAAAAACAUCAAAAAAUAGCCCAAAAACAUCCAAAAUACCCCAAAAACUGCCCCAAAAACAUCCAAAAAUAGCCCAAAACAUCCUAAAACCCCUCAAAAACAUCAUAAAGUAGCCCAAAACACCCAAAAACAUCCUAAAAUAUUCCAAAAACACCCAAAAACAUCCUAAAAUACUCCAAAAUACCCCAAAACCAACCUAAAACCACACAAAAAACAUCCUAAAAUAACCCAAAAACACCCCAAAAUCAUCCUAAAACACCUAAAAACACCACAAAACACCCUAAAACCACCCCAAACCACACCAAAACCUUCCUAAAACACCCUAAAAUAUCCCAAAAACACCCCAAAAACACCCAAAAACAUCCUAAAACAUCCAAAAAACAUCCUAGAAUACCUCAAAAACACCCAAAAUACUCCAGAAACUGCCCCAAAACUAUCCUAAAAUACCCCAAAUACAACCCAAAACUAUCCUAAAAUACCCCAAAUACAACCCAAAACUAUCCUAAAAUACCCAAAACCAUCCAAAAACACCCCAAAAUAGCCCAAAACACCCUAAAACCACUCAAAAACAUCCUAAAAUACCCCAAAAACAUCCUAAAAAUAGCCCAAAAACACCCCAAAAACUGCCCCAAAAGCAUCCAAAAAUAGCCCAAAACACCCCAAAACAUCCUAAAGCACCCCAAAAACAUCCUAAAAUCCCCCAAAAACACCCGAAAUACCCCCAAAACACCCCAAAAACACCCCAAAAACAUCAAAAAAUAGCCCAAAAACAUCCAAAAUACCCCAAAAACUGCCCCAAAAACAUCCGAAAAUAGCCCAAAAACAUCCUAAAACACCUCAAAAACGUCAUAAAGUAGCCCAAAACACCCAAAAACAUCCUAAAAUAUUCUAAAAUAUCCCAAAACCAACCCAAAACCACACCAAAACCACACCAAAUACAUCCUAAAAUAACCCAAAAUACCCCAAAAUCAUCCUGAAAACACCCAAAAACACCCCAAAACACCCUAAAACCACCCCAAAACACACCAAAAACUUCCUAAAACACCCCAAAAUAUCCCAAAAACACACCAGAAACACCCAAAAACAUCGUAAGACAUCCAAAAAAAAUCCUAGAAUACCUCAAAAACACCCAAAAUACUCCAGAAACUGCCCCAAAACUAUCCUAGAAUACCCAAAACACCCCAAAACACCCAAAACCAUCCAAAAAUAGCCCAAAACUAUCCUAAAAUACCCAAAAACACCCCAAAACACCCAAAAACAUCCAAAAUACCCCAAAAACAUCCUAAAAUACCCAAAAACACCCCAGAAACAUCCAAAAAUAGCCCAAAACCACACAAAAAUAUCCUGAAAACACCCCAAAAACAACCUAAAGUACCCCAAAACCACCCAGAACACACCAAAAACAUCCUAAAACACCCAAAAUAACCCAAAAAUAUCCCCAAAACACCCAAAAAUAUCCUAAAAUACCCCAAAAAGUGCCCCAAAACAGAACAAAAACAUCCUGAAACACCCAAAAUACCCCAAAAACUGCCCCAAAAACAGCCCAAAAACAUCCUAAAAUCUGCCCCAAAAACAUCCUAAAAUACCCCAAAAAAAACCCAAACCAUCCAAAAAUAUCCCAAAACCACACAAAAAUAUCCCAAAAACGCCCCAAAAACAGCCCAUAAACACCAAAAAUCUGCCCCAAAAUGUCCUAAAACACCCCAAAAACACCCAAAAAUGUCCAAAAGUAGCCCAAAGACAUCCUAAAACAUCCCAAAAUAGCCCAAAAACUGCCCCAAAAACAUCCUGAAAUACCCCAAAAAAACCCCAAACCAUCCAAAAAUAUCCCAAAAACACCCAAAAAUAUCCUAAAAGACCCCAAAAACAUCCAAAAAUACCCAAAAACAACCUAAAAACAACCCAAAAACAUCCAAAAAUAGCCCAAAACCACCCAAACUACCUCAAAAAUGCCCCAAAAACAUCCAAAAAUAGCCCAAAACUAUCCUAAAAUACCCAAAACCACCCCAAAGUAUCCAAAAAUAGCCUAAAAUACCCCAAAAACAUCCUAAAACAUCCUAAGACAUCCAAAAACAUCCUAGAAUACCCCAAAAACGCCCAAAAUACUCCAGAAACUGCCCCAAAACUAUCCUAGAAUACCCAAAAACACCCAAAAACAUCCAAAAUACCCCAAAAACAUCCUAAAAUACCCCAAAAACACCCCAGAAACAUCCAAAAAUAGCCCAAAACCACCCAAAAUACCCAAAAACUGCCCCAAAAACAUCCUAAAAUACCCCAAAACCACCUAAAACACCCCCAAAACAUCCUAAAACACCCCAAAAACACCCAAAAUAUCCCAGAAACUGCCCCAAAAACAUCCUAAAAUGCCCCCAAAAACACCCGAAAUACCCCCAAAACAUCCAAAAAUAGCCCAAAAACAUCCUAAAACACCUCAAAAACAUCAUAAGGUAACCCAAAACACCCAAAAACAUCCUAAAAUACUCCAAAAACACCCAAAAACAUCCUGAAAUACUCCAAAAUAUCCCAAAAACACCCCAGUAAGGAAUUAGUAUCAAAUUAGUAAUGAAUUAGUCAGGAAUUAGUAAGGAAUUAGGAAAUAGUAAUGAAUUGGUGAUGAAUUAGUAAUGAAUUAGGAAUUAGUAACAAAUUAGUAAUGAAUUAGUAACAAAUUAGUAACGGAUUAGUAGCAAAUUAGUAAGGAAUUAGGAAGGAAUUAGGAAUUAGUAAUGAAUUAGUAAAGAAUUAAUAAGGAAUUAGUAAUGAAUUAGUAAGGAAUUAGUAACAAAUUAGCAACAAAUUGGCAAUGAAUUAGUAAGGAAUUAGUAACAAAUUAGUAACAAAUUAGUAACAAAUUAGUAACAAAUUAGUAACGAAUUAGUAACGAAUUAGUAACGAAUUAGUAAGGCAUUAGUAACAAAUACGUAAUGAAUUAGUAACAAAUUAGUAACACAUUGGUAACAAAUUUGUAACAAAUUAGUAACAAAUUGGUAACAAAUUAGUAAUGA
ensembl:lncRNA